UUUUGGCUAAUGGUUGCUCGCCUAGCAAUUGAGCUUGGUUGGUGGUUGUUAGUUGGGUGGUCUCGGGGAUGUCUUCCGUAAAGGUGCAUGAGUGGUGUUUGGUUUGUUACGGGUGGUUGGCUCUUUGCUCGCGCACGAACUUCCACCUGGCAUACCUCUUCAUGUUUGUGUCAAUGCUUGUAUCGCAUUGAACUCAUUGUGGGUUUCUUGUAUCGAAUGCCUAACUGAUGGUAUCGUUUGAUCGAUUGCUGAAUGUUUUCGUCUUGCGUUGCUCUUGUGACGCGAGAUGAACCAAAAGGUAGCCUUUGUGGUCCACUCUUUCGAUGCACGUGCACUGACUUUGUGGCUCACAAGGUGCUGCUUGGUCUCAUCGAUAUGGAACCUUGUGUGGGCGCGAGAUCUUUUGUUAGUUCUUUGUUUGCCCUAGUAAGCUUCACAAAUACGAUUUCCUAUCAUGUUUUAACGUGGUAGGCUAUAUCGAAUAUGAAUG
rnacentral:misc_RNA from 1 species